rnacentral:rRNA from 1 species
CAACUCUUAACAGUGGAUAUCUUGGUUCCCACAACGAUGAAGAACGCAGCGAAAUGCGAUACGUAAUGCGAAUUGCAGAAUUCAGUGAAUCAUCAAAUCUUUGAACGCAAGUUGCGCUUUCGAGAUAUCCUUGAAAGCAUGCCUCUUUGAGUGUCGGUU